rnacentral:lncRNA from 1 species
GAAGACGAGCUGUGUGCAAAAUCCUCGUGAAAGAGAUGCAAACCCAAUAAAUAUUUUGAUGUUGAGUUUUAAACAUUUCACCAAAUCCUCUGAUUUUUUUUUAAUGUUGGCUAUUUUUGUGAGCUUCGUUUGGUGGUCCUUCACGACGAUGGCUUGCUUGCUUUAUUUAAGAGCAAGUCAGAAUGCUUGCUUUCCUGAAACUAAUUAUGUGAAAGUAUUACAAAUCGAAUUGAGCGAAGAACAACCAAACUAAAUAUAUCAUUGUACUGAGAAUGUCUCCUUUGCUCUAUUAAUAUGUUUCUAUUCAGAUUAUUCUUUUGUUUCUCUCACACGCAUGAAAAUAUACAAGGCGCUUCACAAAUCGC